rnacentral:rRNA from 1 species
AGACCCGAAACCCGGUGAUCUAGCCAUGGGCAGGUUGAAGGUUGGGUAACACUAACUGGAGGACCGAACCGACUAAUGUUGAAAAAUUAGCGGAUGACCUGUGGCUGGGGGUGAAAGGCCAAUCAAACCGGGAGAUAGCUGGUUCUCCCCGAAAGCUAUUUAGGUAGCGCCUCGUGAAUUCAUCUCCGGGGGUAGAGCACUGUUUCGGCUAGGGGGCCAUCCCGGCUUACCAACCCGAUGCAAACUGCGAAUACCGGAGAAUGUUAUCACGGGAGACACACGGCGGGUGCUAACGUCCGUCGUGAAGAGGGAAACAACCCAGACCGCCAGCUAAGGUCCCAAAGUCAUGGUUAAGUGGGAAACGAUGUGGGAAGGCCCAGACAGCCAGGAUGUUGGCUUAGAAGCAGCCAUCAUUUAAAGAAAGCGUAAUAGCUCACUGGUCGAGUCGGCCUGCGCGGAAGAUGUAACGGGGCUAAACCAUGCACCGAAGCUGCGGCAGCGACACUGUGUGUUGUUGGGUAGGGGAGCGUUCUGUAAGCCUGUGAAGGUGUGUCGUGAGGCAUGCUGGAGGUAUCAGAAGUGCGAAUGCUGACAUAAGUAACGAUAAAGCGGGUGAAAAGCCCGCUCGCCGGAAGACCAAGGGUUCCUGUCCAACGUUAAUCGGGGCAGGGUGAGUCGACCCCUAAGGCGAGGCCGAAAGGCGUAGUCGAUGGGAAACGGGUUAAUAUUCCCGUACUUGGUGUUACUGCGAAGGGGGGACGGAGAAGGCUAUGUUGGCCGGGCGACGGUUGUCCCGGUUUAAGCGUGUAGGUGUGUGUUCCAGGUAAAUCCGGUUCACUUUAACACUGAGGCGUGACGACGAGGCACUACGGUGCUGAAGCAACAAAUGCCCUGCUUCCAGGAAAAGCCUCUAAGCAUCAGGUAACAUCAAAUCGUACCCCAAACCGACACAGGUGGUCAGGUAGAGAAUACCAAGGCGCUUGAGAGAACUCGGGUGAAGGAACUAGGCAAAAUGGUGCCGUAACUUCGGGAGAAGGCACGCUGACACGUAGGUGAAGUGAUUUACUCAUGGAGCUGAAGUCAGUCGAAGAUACCAGCUGGCUGCAACUGUUUAUUAAAAACACAGCACUGUGCAAACACGAAAGUGGACGUAUACGGUGUGACGCCUGCCCGGUGCCGGAAGGUUAAUUGAUGGGGUCAGCGCAAGCGAAGCUCCUGAUCGAAGCCCCGGUAAACGGCGGCCGUAACUAUAACGGUCCUAAGGUAGCGAAAUUCCUUGUCGGGUAAGUUCCGACCUGCACGAAUGGCGUAAUGAUGGCCAGGCUGUCUCCACCCGAGACUCAGUGAAAUUGAACUCGCUGUGAAGAUGCAGUGUACCCGCGGCAAGACGGAAAGACCCCGUGAACCUUUACUAUAGCUUGACACUGAACAUUGAGCCUUGAUGUGUAGGAUAGGUGGGAGGCUUUGAAGUGUGGACGCCAGUCUGCAUGGAGCCGACCUUGAAAUACCACCCUUUAAUGUUUGAUGUUCUAACGUGGACCCGUUACCCGGGUUGCGGACAGUGUCUGGUGGGUAGUUUGACUGGGGCGGUCUCCUCCUAAAGAGUAACGGAGGAGCACGAAGGUUGGCUAAUCCUGGUCGGACAUCAGGAGGUUAGUGCAAUGGCAUAAGCCAGCUUGACUGCGAGCGUGACGGCGCGAGCAGGUGCGAAAGCAGGUCAUAGUGAUCCGGUGGUUCUGAAUGGAAGGGCCAUCGCUCAACGGAUAAAAGGUACUCCGGGGAUAACAGGCUGAUACCGCCCAAGAGUUCAUAUCGACGGCGGUGUUUGGCACCUCGAUGUCGGCUCAUCACAUCCUGGGGCUGAAGUAGGUCCCAAGGGUAUGGCUGUUCGCCAUUUAAAGUGGUACGCGAGCUGGGUUUAGAACGUCGUGAGACAGUUCGGUCCCUAUCUGCCGUGGGCGCUGGAGAACUGAGGGGGGCUGCUCCUAGUACGAGAGGACCGGAGUGGACGCAUCACUGGUGUUCGGGUUGUCAUGCCAAUGGCACUGCCCGGUAGCUAAAUGCGGAAGAGAUAAGUGCUGAAAGCAUCUAAGCACGAAACUUGCCCCGAGAUGAGUUCUCCCUGAGACUUAAAGUCUCCUGAAGGAACGUUGAAGACGACGACGUUGAUAGGCCGGGUGUGUAAGCGCAGCGAUGCGUUGAGCUAACCG